AUACUUACCUGGCAGGUGAGAUACUGUGAUGAUGAAGGUGGUUUACCCAGAGUGGGGCUUAUCCAUUGCACUCUGAAUGUUCUGACCCCUGUUACUUCCUUAAUGUGGACAACCCUAUGGCAUAAUUUGUGGUAGUGAGGAACUUUGUUUACACUCUCCUUC
ensembl:snRNA U1 U1 spliceosomal RNA